rnacentral:rRNA from 1 species
GACGAACGCUGGCGGCGUGCUUAACACAUGCAAGUCGAACGAUGAACCCGGAGCUUGCUCCGGUGGAUUAGUGGCGAACGGGUGAGUAACACGUGAGUAACCUGCCCUUGACUCUGGGAUAACUGCGGGAAACUGUAGCUAAUACCGGAUACGACCCUCGGCGGCAUCGCCAGGGGGUGGAAAGAAUUUCGGUCAAGGAUGGACUCGCGGCCUAUCAGCUAGUUGGUGAGGUAACGGCUCACCAAGGCGACGACGGGUAGCCGGCCUGAGAGGGUGAACGGCCACACUGGGACUGAGGCACGGCCCAGACUCCUACGGGAGGCAGCAGUGGGGAAUAUUGCACAAUGGGCGCAAGCCUGAUGCAGCGACGCCGCGUGAGGGAUGACGGCCUUCGGGCUGUAAACCUCUUUCAGCACCGACGAAGCGCAAGUGACGGUAGGUGCAGAAGAAGGACCGGCCAACUACGUGCCAGCCGCCGCCGUAA